rnacentral:rRNA from 1 species
GACGAACGCUGGCGGCGUGCUUAACACAUGCAAGUCGAACGGAAAGGCCCUGCUUUUGUGGGGUGCUCGAGUGGCGAACGGGUGAGUAACACGUGAGUAACCUGCCCUUGACUUUGGGAUAACUUCAGGAAACUGGGGCUAAUACCGGAUAGGAGCUCCUGCUGCAUGGUGGGGGUUGGAAAGUUUCGGCGGUUGGGGAUGGACUCGCGGCUUAUCAGCUUGUUGGUGGGGUAGUGGCUUACCAAGGCUUUGACGGGUGGCCGGCCUGAGAGGGUGACCGGGCACAUUGGGACUGAGAUACGGCCCAGACUCCUACGGGAGGCAGCAGUGGGGAAUAUUGCACAAUGGGCGGAAGCCUGAUGCAGCAACGCCGCGUGCGGGAUGACGGCCUUCGGGUUGUAAACCGCUUUCGCCUGUGACGAAGCGUGAGUGACGGUAAUGGGUAAAGAAGCACCGGCUAACUACGUG